GAGGGAGUUGACGAAUGAGGUGUCUUGCUAAUAGUCCAUGUCGUAAGUACCAAAACUUCAUUCUUUUGUUUUCUAAGUGGUAGCCCCGGACUUUUUCUUCAUAUAUUUUGUUUAUGAAGGUUGCUAGGCCCGAAUAAGUGGAAUUGCAGAAGGUGUAACGGUUGGUAGCUGUUUUAUGGAAAGCCAUCUGACUACGAUAGUCUUGCACAUGAUGACUAUAGGGAGAUACACACACAUACUGCUAUGAUAGAGGGUGUAACCGUUGGUGCAUUACAAUCAUAAUGGAAGCAUCACAAUGAUGGAAGCAUCACAAUGAUGGAAGCAUCAUAAUGAUGAAAACACCAUAAUGAUGAAACAUCAUAAUGAUGUUUCUUUGGUGGAAUUGUUUUUCAUUUCCCCUAACACCCUGAAUUGGUUUUCAAUAUAAGACCAUCAUCUGUAGCUCGAAUCACAAAGUUGUCUUCAUGAAAGUUGUUCUUUAAUUCCUUAACGACAACAUAUCCAAAUUUGAGAGCCAUCAGAUCAGUACAACUCUAGAAAUUCAGGUACGACGAGUGAUUGUUCAUCAUUUGUCUGUCAACACGUCAGACCUGUUGUGAGCUUCAAAAACUCCAUUUUCUCUUGCUCAGAUCAACAUACUUGCUUCAUCGAAGUUGUUCCUUAACUUGUGAACUACAACAUAUCCAAAUUUGAGAUCCCUCGGAGCAGUAUAACUCCAGAACUCCAGGUAUGAUGAAUGACUGGUUAUUAUUUUUCUGUCAACCCGUCAGAUUUGUUGUGAGCUUUGAAACUCCAUUUUCUCUUGCUCAGAUCAGCAUGAUUUCUUCAUUGAAGUUGUUCCUCAGCUUGUGAACUACAACAUAUCCAAAUUUGAGGUCCCUCGGAGCAGUAUAACUCCAGAAAUCCAGGUAUGAUGAGUGACUGGUUAUUAUUUUUCUGUCAACCCGUCAGAUUUGUUGUGAGCUUUGAAACUCCAUUUUCUCUUGCUCAGAUCAGCAUGCUUUCUUCAUUGAAGUUGUUCCUCAUCGUCUCUUUCAUAACAUAUCAAAAAUUCAGAAUGAA
rnacentral:lncRNA from 1 species